rnacentral:rRNA from 1 species
GCUUACGGCCAUACCACCCUGAGCGCGCCCGAUCUCGUCUGAUCUCGGAAGCUAAGCAGGGUCGGGCCUGGUUAGUACUUGGAUGGGAGACCGCCUGGGAAUACCAGGUGCCCACACUU